GUAGUCUCGCACAGACUGCAUAUCAAUAAGCGGAGGAAAAGAAACUAACAAGGAUUCCCUAGUAACGGCGAGUGAAGCGGGAAGAGCUCAAACUUGAAAUCUUAAAGGUUUUCCCUUGACGAAUUGUAGUUUAAAGAAGUGUUUUCCGUUGAAGUUUUGGUAUAAAGUUCUUUGGAAUAGGACAUCAUAGAGGGUGAGAAUCCCGUAUUUGACCAUUUACUUUCAGCUGUGUGAUACACUUUCAAAGAGUCGGAUUGUUUGGGAAUGCAGUCCAAAAUGGGUGGUAAAUUUCAUCUAAAGCUAAAUAUUGGCGAGAGACCGAUAGCGAACAAGUACCGUGAGGGAAAGAUGAAAAGAACUUUGAAAAGAGAGUUAAACAGUACGUGAAAUUGUCAAAAGGGAAGCGUUUGACACCAGUGUUGUUUUCUCGAAAAUCAAUUAAAAAGAGUUAGAUUUCGUUGUGUAUUGACCUUAACAGCUUGCAUUUCAAUUUUCUUGCUUUUUUAAUGCACUUUUCGUUUAACAAGUCAACAUCAGUUUCUUUUGUUGUAAAAAGGUCAUUGGAAGGUGGCUUUCUUUUCGGAGAAAGUGUUUAUAGCCUUUGACUCCUGCAAUCGGAGAGACUGAGGUCUGCAGCGUAGAUCCUUCGGGGUUAGAUACAUUUGUGCUAAGUUAUAGCUUUUUAUAGACAACUUGUAGACUAUGAUUAGUCUUGUAGCUUACUCGCUUAUGCUAUUUUACCUACGCUUAGGAUGUUGAGCGCAUGUCUCUCUCU
rnacentral:rRNA from 1 species